UUAUAAUAAACUCACAAGUAAAGAACACUUGCAUCUCCCAUCCUGGUACAUCUAACUCACUGAAACCCAUAAGCAAAUCACUCUAUGUAACGCCUAACACUGGUACUUCUAGCUGACAGAGACAUGACCUGCUUAGCUUGGUUAACAACCACUAGGCUAUGCCAAAAUCAGCGAGUGCGCAACUAGCUCCUGCCUCCGGCUACUUCCCUGGAGCAAGGUGUGAGGCGAUCGAAUGCCUCAAGCGCGUGCUGCAAACAUAUUACACAUGGAUCGAGUACAACUUUAUUGACAGCGAUGGCGACCAUGGACGCUGGAAGAAAGACGAUUGGCACGACCUGUAGGAUUCGUCCUGCUAGUGUGGUACAAUGUGGACUUCGACAACACCAUUCAUAUGGCCGGGAGGUACCAACGACCAGUGGAGACGUGGCAGAAGGGAAGAUCGUAGGCUGGAGGUGCGACGCUGGGAGCUUGCUUGCUGGAGCAGCGGGAGAAAGAGAUAUGUUGGAGGGCGGCCGUCCAUGUUUAUGCAUCAGGGAAAGGGGCCAUAGCUGCAGGUGAGAAAGCAAUGUUCAGAAACGUGCUGCUCAUUCACUAAAAUUGAUGGAACUAUUCUAGUCUAAUACUUCACAAAUUUGAAAUCUAAGCAGAGUUUUUGCUGGAACUUACCUCAUGGAAAAUCACUAGAUCCGAGAUCGCACGACUUCUUUCUUUAUCAUAUCUGAACUUCAGAUUAAUGCCUUCCCAUUUUUUGCUCUGGCACACUGUACAAGCUUCAAAUAGUACAUCAGAGAGCAGUAGCACAAUACACAACACUAGAAGAGAGUAGCAGCAAGCUUUUCAUUCCAUUAGGAAAUUGAUGAAAAUAAUGAAGAACACUUACUGGAUAAUCAAGAAACAUGGUGAAAAAAUUCAGCGGAAAAAGUAUAACUCAAAUAUCAGUUUUUCACAUUCUACACGGUUAAUUCUUUUUAACAACAUACAGAUGAAAUUAAUUAAUGAAUCAAAACUCGGAAAGGGACUCUCUUUUAUGCAGAUGUAGACCCAAUCAUUCAUGAUUCUUCUUUAACAUACUAAGAUGACCAACAAUACUGACUUGCAAACAAUAUUGUAGAAACAAACAUCAGAGUUACCCGUUGCUUGGACGAGUACAGCUGAGGCAACAAGUUCAGUUGUACAAAUGGAACAAACAAAACUGUGCUUAUACCUAUUGCGAUGCGCAAGAAAGUCUGACGACGAUGAUGGACAAGCUCGCCGGGAGCAAUAGGCGAUGCAAACAACACACUGAGAUUCAGAGAUAGCGACAAACUCACGUCUGUCAUUAGCACAUCAAGAAGAGAGCAACACAACACGUCAUUUUCCCCUAACGAAAAUUAGAAUAUGAAGUCUCCAAAAGAAAGGGUGUGGCAUGCCAUCCAAAUGGAGCAUCAGAGGCGAGGUUAAUUCAUCAUCUAGCAAUGACCUCUUUGUGGGAGGGAGCACCGUGGAGGCACAGUGUGUCAAAUCCGUCCGGCCGCUACAGUGACAUUUGAACUUCUUGCAGCGGCACCAGCUUCCUGCAGGGGCAUGGCGGAGGAGAACUGCAUGGCACGUGAGAGGCGGGAUCAGGAGUAGCUCCAGGAUGGAAAGGGGUGUAAAGGUGGAGAAGGUCAGGGGUGAAGGGUCACCGGGGCGACGCACUGGUGCGAGAAGGCAUGGCGGCGCUCGGACGGUGCGUGGCUGCGAGAAGGAAGACGACGUUCAGUAGCAGCGAGGCAUCUGGCGACGACCACAACUAGGCGGGGG
rnacentral:lncRNA from 1 species